AGUCGCGCAGUAAGUUGGAGCAGUGUGGUUCGUUAUCACCUUCCGUCCGCCAGCGCAACAAACCUGUCCUCCGCGCCGCCGACGCCGCCUGUGUGCACAGAAGAUGACCGGAAAGUGACUCUGCAGGGCGGCAGGGUUAUCCGGACGUUCGCACGGGGUCCAGUGGAAGUUUUCUGCGCGUCGCAGCCGAGGCUCCUGCGCCGUAUACGCAGCAUUGGGCCAAAUGGAGCUGGGAACUCGACACCUGCUGUGCACCAGGGAGCUUGAUCCGUGCUUGGUUCCUAGCAAACAACCAUAAAGGGUGGGAACCUUAAUUAUACUUUAGUUCCUUUUUCCUACCCUCCCCUUAAAUUGCCCUUGUGGAGAUAUUAUCCUCUGGUGUCUGUGGCCUGCAACAUGAUUGGCAAACUGAAACAGAACUUGCUGGUGGCGUGUCUGGUCAUUAGCUCGGUCACGGUCCUCUAUUUGGGCCGUCAUGCCAUGGAGUGCCACCAUCGCAUCGAGGAGCGCAUUCAGCCCGUCGGAAUCAUGCCUCUGUCAGCGCUGGGUGGCAGCAUGCGGACCACCUUACGGACAGGCCAGAAUCUCAGCACACCUUUCGUUUACAACAAAGACAUGCCACUCAUCUUCAUCGGUGGUGUGCCCCGAAGUGGAACCACACUAAUGCGUGCAAUGCUGGACGCCCACCCAGAGGUGCGCUGUGGCGAGGAAACCCGUGUCAUCCCACGUAUCCUGGCAAUGAAGCAGAUGUGGAGCCGCUCAGGCCGGGAGAAGAUGCGCCUGGAUGAGGCAGGUGUGACGGAUGAGGUGCUGGAUGCUGCCAUGCAGGCCUUCCUGCUCGAAAUCAUCGUCAAACAUGGAGAGCCUGCCAAUUUCCUGUGCAACAAGGACCCUUUUGCACUAAAGUCGCUUGCCUACCUGGCCAAAAUCUUUCCCCAUGCCAAGUUUGUACUAAUGGUUCGUGAUGGCCGUGCUUCAGUCCACUCCAUGAUCUCACGGAAGGUGACCAUUGCAGGCUUUGAUCUGGGCAGCUACCGGGACUGCCUGACCAAGUGGAAUCGGGCCAUAGAGACCAUGUACACUCAGUGCCUGGAGUCUGCUGAUAAAUGCCUACCAGUGCACUACGAACAGUUGGUCCUCCAUCCUGAGAAAUGGAUGAGGACACUGCUUAAAUUCCUUGACAUUCCUUGGAAUAAAGCUGUUCUCCACCAUGAGGAGCUCAUUGGGAAAGCUGGAGGAGUGUCCCUCUCCAAGGUGGAGAGGUCCACAGACCAGGUCAUCAAGCCAGUCAAUGUGGAGGCCUUGUCCAAGUGGGUGGGGAAGAUCCCAGGAGACGUGGUGAGGGACAUGGCUGUCAUCGCACCAAUGCUGUCCAGACUGGGCUACGAUCCACACGCCAACCCUCCUAACUAUGGCAGGCCUGACCCCAACGUCCUGGACAACACCAGAAGGGUCUUUAAAGGUGAAUUUCAGCUACCAGAUUUCCUUAAAGAACAAUCACAGAUACAGAAGUCUGGAGAGAGACCCAACCCCAGUUAGAGCUGAUGGAGUGCAUCACCUCGAGAUCACAGACACACAGGUACGACUGGACGUGACAUCACAAACACACAGGAGCUGGUGCAGUAGAGCAGAAGAUCGUGGACGUCAUCUCAGCCAUCUCACCAUGUGUGUCGGAUCGUUUCCUCCACCAAUAAUCAUCUACGGAGAACUCUUGGCCUUUGAUUAUGUACUGUACAAAAAGAAAUACUACAGGUUCUCACAACCACAGAAUGUCUGCUGAUUGUUACUUGUCACAUCACACGUUGAUUUGUAGAAGUGAUCUCUGGCUAUUUAGAAAAAAAAAACUUUGUGAUGCUGUUGUAGGAAACCGCAGUGAACUGGAAUCACAAGUAUUUAUGAAUGGAAAAUUAGCUUUUGGAAGAUGCAAUACCUAUUUUAAUGUUCAAUGUUUUUUUUUCUUUCAUGCCUUUGUAUUGUGCAAUGUCAUGGGUACUGAUCAGUUUCAUGUAUCAACCGUGAUAAAAAAUGCUUCUUUUUUUAAA